UACGUAGGUGGCAAGCGUUUGUUCGGAAUUAUUGGGCGUAAAGGGCGCGUAGGCGGCUUGUUAAGUCGGCUGUGAAAGCCCGGGGCUCAACCCCGGAGGGUCAGCCGAUACUGGCAGGCUAGAGUACUAAAGAGGGUCGCGGAAUUCCCGGUGUAGAGGUGAAAUUCGUAGAUAUCGGGAGGAACACCGGUGGCGAAGGCGGCGACCUGGGUAGAUACUGACGCUGGAGGCGCGGAAAGCGUGGGGGAGCAAACAGG
rnacentral:rRNA from 1 species